rnacentral:rRNA from 1 species
UNGGCGUAAANGGAGCGUAGGNGNNNUGUAAGUCAGAUGUGAAAUCCCGGGGNUCAACCCCNGAACUGCAUCCGNUACUGCCGUGCUUGAGGGUUGGAGAGGUAGCUGGAAUUAUCGGUGUAGCAGUGAAAUGCGUGGAUAUCGAUAGGAACACUCGUGGCGAAGGCGAGCUACUGGACAACAUNUGACGCUGAGGCUCGANGGCUAGGGGAGCAAAAGGGAUUAGAUACCCCUGUAGUCCUAGCAGUAAACGGUGUGCGCUUGGUGUGAGGGGAUUCGACCCCCCUUGUGCCGGAGCUAACGCGUUAAGCGCACCGCCUGGGAAGUACGGCCGCAAGGCUAAAACUCAAAGAAAUUGACGGGGACCCGCACAAGCGGUGGAGUAUGUGGCUUAAUUCGAUGCAACGCGAAGAACCUUACCAAGGCUUGACAUGGAUUUCUAAGCACGUGAAAGCGUGUGACCCUUUGGGGGACUUCCACAGGUGCUGCAUGGCCGUCGUCAGCUCGUGUCGUGAGAUGUUGGGUUAAGUCCCGCAACGAGCGCAACCCCUGUGAUUAGUUGCCAGCACGUAAUGGUGGGGACUCUAGUCAGACUGCCCAGAUCAACUGGGAGGAAGGUGGGGACGACGUCAGGUCAGUAUGGCCCUUACGCCUUGGGCUGCACACGUACUACAAUGCCCAGCACAAUGAGAACCGAGACCGCGAGGUGGAGGAAAUCUGUAAAACUGGGCCCAGUUCGGAUUGAAGGCUGCAACUCGCCUCCAUGAAGCCGGAAUCGCUAGUAAUGCUGCAUCAGCUACGGCAGCGUGAAUACGUUCCCGGGUCUUGUACACACCGCCCGUCACAUCAUGGAAGCCGGUAGCACCCGAAGUAUCGUACGAUCCUAAGGUGAAGCUGGUAACUGGGAUGAAGUCGUAACAAGGUAACCAAGGGNGAA